UGAGGAAUAUUGGGCAAUGCCCGGAAGGGUGACCCAGCAACGCCGCGUGGAGGAUGAAUGUCGUAAGAUUGUAAACUCCUGUUAGAGGGGAAGAAUAAUUCCGAUCGACUCGGAAAUUGACUGUACCCUCAGAGAAAGCCCCGGCUAACUACGUGCCAGCAGCCGCGGUAAUACGUAGGGGGCAAGCGUUGUCCGGAUUUACUGGGUGUAAAGGGCGCGCAGGUGGGUUGACAAGUCAGAGGUGAAAUCCUACAGCUUAACUGUAGAACUGCCUUUGAGACUGUCAAUCUUGAGUACGGAAGAGAGAGAUGGAAUUCCAGGUGUAGUGGUGAAAUACGUAGAUAUCUGGAAGAACACCAGUGGCGAAGGCGGUCUCUUGGUCCAAUACUGACACUAAGGC
rnacentral:rRNA from 1 species